rnacentral:rRNA from 1 species
GAUCCUGGCUCAGAAUCAACGCUGGCGGCGUGCCUAACACAUGCAAGUCGAACGAGAAAGUGGUAGCAAUACCAUGAGUAAAGUGGCGCACGGGUGAGUAACACGUGACUAACCUACCCUGGAGUGGGGGAUAACUGAGGGAAACCUUAGCUAAUACCGCAUAAUACCCACGGGUCAAAGGAGCAAUUCGCUCUGGGAGGGGGUCGCGGCCGAUUAGUUAGUUGGCGGGGUAACGGCCCACCAAGACGAUGAUCGGUAUCCGGCCUGAGAGGGCGCACGGACACACUGGAACUGAAACACGGUCCAGACUCCUACGGGAGGCAGCAGUGGGGAAUUUUGCGCAAUGGGGGAAACCCUGACGCAGCAACGCCGCGUGGAGGAUGAAGUCCUUCGGGACGUAAACUCCUUUCGAUCGGGACGAUUAUGACGGUACCGGAAGAAGAAGCCCCGGCUAACUUCGUGCCAGCAGCCGCGGUAAUACGAGGGGGGCGAGCGUUGUUCGGAAUUAUUGGGCGUAAAGGGUGCGUAGGCGGUUUUGUAAGUCUUAUGUGAAAUCUAUGGGCUCAACUCAUAGACUGCAUGAGAAACUGCAGGGCUUGAGUGUGGGAGAGGUGAGUGGAAUUCCUGGUGUAGCGGUGAAAUGCGUAGAUAUCAGGAGGAACACCUGUGGCGAAAGCGGCUCACUGGACC